UAUCACCUGCAGAGCUACUAACAAUUCUGAUUCCAGGGCCCAACCCCAGAAAUCCUACUUCAGCUGCUGUGGGCUGGAGUGGGGGAGUUGGUUUUUCAAGGUGCCCCAGUCCCCAGGCAGUCGCGGUGCUCAGCAGGUCUAGGGCUGGCCCUGCACUGCACCUUGCCACCUUUCAGUGAGGGGAGCUGCCGCUGAGCCUGCUGAAAAGAGCCGGGGCCAGGAGACAGCUGUGUCCCUUUGCUGUUCCUACCCCAUACUGGCUUCAGGGAUUGUGGCUUUGAAUUUUUCGUGCAUUUAACCAAAUCUAGUCAUUCUUCCCAUCCAAUCUGCACAGAGAUGUUAAGUUAAGCUGCUCAGCCUCUGCCCUUGUCAGGCCCUGUUGGAACAUUUUCUCAGGCUCCUCCCCAUCCAGGGGGUCCCGGUGAAGCUCCUGGCCCCAGGGUGGUCUGGCCUGACCUCCUGCCCUGCCUUCUCUCCAGCUGGUCUCCUUCUCAAAGCCCUUGGACCUUGGCUUGUGCUUCCUCUUUCUUUCCCUCCCUGAUCUGGAACACCCCCUCGAUCCCCGCCUCACUCUCCAGAACCUACCCCAGCUUUAAAUAUCCCUUCCUCCAGGGAGCACUCCUUGACUGGCCUGGUCCACAGUCCUUCCUGGAACACUUGCUGUUGUUCAUGUCCCCUCCUCUGCUGUGGCCUGAGACCUCCACAUGUCUGUGUCCUAACAACACAAGCAGAGGUCACUUCUCAAGGUCAUUGGUAUGCUCUUGAAUCUCUUCUUGACUCUGCACCCACACUCCCCGGCUGUGCCCCAGCCCUGGAUUGUCCUAACAAUGCCCUUUGACCUUCUUCCCCUGCCCUCAAAACUGACCUGCCCCGUGGCCCUUUACUCUGCUAUGAAACUGUGAGCCAGUCUGUAAUAAUUUAGUCGGGCUAUUUAAUUUUUCCUUUUAUUAGCAGAGGAACUAUAUUUUAUGGAGCAUCCGCCCUUUGCUAGGUGUUUUGCCUCAGUUAGUAUAUUCAUCCCCCCAAAUUCUCCAAGGUAGGUGUCUUACCCAUUUUUACCAACGUGGAAACUAACAUUCAGGGAACGAUACCCCCAAGGCCGCACAGCCAGUGAGUGAUGGAGCAGGGCGUGAGGUCUAGGCAGGACGUCUUCAUUCAUUUGCUUGGCACACGCUCCUCCUUUCUUGCUCUGCAGUCAACAGUCACUAGAUGGCCUGGGAGGCAGCCGGGAGCCUGGCUCUCCUGGAUGGAAGGAAAUGGCACAUUAUCUUCCCGGGGAGGCCACAGCAGCUCACUGAUUAUUUAGUUAUUCUGAACGUUGCAAGUUUCAAAAUGUGCAGUUGAAAUCUUCCUUACAUAUGUUGAAGCACCAUAGUCCAAGCAGAACUGUAAUCUUUUUUGUUAACUAACGUAAAGGCAUCAGCAUGGUUGAUAGAAAGAACAGAAUCUCACUCUAACUUCCCGGCUUGAGCAACGAAGAGAACCACCACCAAUGACCUCCUGUGUGCCAGGCGCUUUCCAUGCUUUAUCUCGUUUAAUCUCCUCAUCUUUGAGAGGUUCCCAGAGGUGAAGUAAACUUUCCCAAGUUUACACGGCAGAGCCAGGAUUUCGAUCUCAAUUGAUCUGACUUCAAAGUUUCUUGGCCUCUCCGAGCCUCAACAGCCUCAUCUGUUAAAUGGGCAUAAUCACAACAAUACCUAUCCAGUGUUGAGUAAGAUAAUGUACACAAAGUGCCGCGGAGGCACGGAUGUGGAGUGCGACAGUGGGCAAAGUAGAAGACGCUGGUUGCCUGAGGUCUGUCACAUGGCGAAUUCUAAAACAGGUUCCCAAGCACAGUCUCCCUUUUGCAGCACCAACAGCAUUAAAAAUUCUGAUGGCAGGUGUUUUCAUAUCUGAUUUACACAGAGAAACUGAGGCCCAGAAAGGGGAAGAGAUUUGGCUGAACUCUGAAUUCGUGGUAUUCCUUGAUUAUCGUUGAUUCGCAUACUCGACAUUUAUUGAAGGCCUACCACGAAUCAGGCCUGUGCUAGGUGUGGAAAUAAAGGGAUGACUCAGGUAUUGUCCCCGGCCCUCAGGUGUUCACAGUCCAGGUAAAGGAAGACUGCCCUGAUCAGGAAUAUGCUCUCAUUCCCCACUGCCUUCUGUGACGUUUCCUCACCCGUACAACCAUUUAUUGACCCUUCCCCAAUU
ensembl:lncRNA